rnacentral:rRNA from 1 species
CUAGCAUGAAGUCAGACAAGUGAA